AGAGUUUGAUCAUGGCUCAGGAUGAACGCUAGCUACAGGCUUAACACAUGCAAGUCGAGGGGAAACGAUAUUGGAAGCUUGCUUCCGAUAGGCGUCGACCGGCGCACGGGUGAGUAACGCGUAUCCAACCUGCCCACCACUUGGGGAUAACCUUGCGAAAGUAAGACUAAUACCCAAUGACGUCUCUAGAAGACAUCUGAAGGAGAUUAAAGAUUUAUCGGUGAUGGAUGGGGAUGCGUCUGAUUAGCUUGUUGGCGGGGUAACGGCCCACCAAGGCAACGAUCAGUAGGGGUUCUGAGAGGAAGGUCCCCCACAUUGGAACUGAGACACGGUCCAAACUCCUACGGGAGGCAGCAGUGAGGAAUAUUGGUCAAUGGGCGAGAGCCUGAACCAGCCAAGUAGCGUGCAGGAAGACGGCCCUAUGGGUUGUAAACUGCUUUUAUAAGGGAAUAAAGUUAGUCUCGUGAGACUUUUUGCAUGUACCUUAUGAAUAAGGACCGGCUAAUUCCGUGCCAGCAGCCGCGGUAAUACGGAAGGUCCGGGCGUUAUCCGGAUUUAUUGGGUUUAAAGGGAGCGUAGGCCGGAGAUUAAGCGUGUUGUGAAAUGUAGACGCUCAACGUCUGCACUGCAGCGCGAACUGGUUUCCUUGAGUACGCACAAAGUGGGCGGAAUUCGUGGUGUAGCGGUGAAAUGCUUAGAUAUCACGAAGAACUCCGAUUGCGAAGGCAGCUCACUGGAGCGCAACUGACGCUGAAGCUCGAAAGUGCGGGUAUCGAACAGGAUUAGAUACCCUGGUAGUCCGCACGGUAAACGAUGGAUGCCCGCUGUUGGUCUGAACAGGUCAGCGGCCAAGCGAAAGCAUUAAGCAUCCCACCUGGGGAGUACGCCGGCAACGGUGAAACUCAAAGGAAUUGACGGGGGCCCGCACAAGCGGAGGAACAUGUGGUUUAAUUCGAUGAUACGCGAGGAACCUUACCCGGGCUUGAAUUGCAGAGGAAGGAUUUGGAGACAAUGACGCCCUUCGGGGUCUCUGUGAAGGUGCUGCAUGGUUGUCGUCAGCUCGUGCCGUGAGGUGUCGGCUUAAGUGCCAUAACGAGCGCAACCCCUCUCCUUAGUUGCCAUCAGGUUAAGCUGGGCACUCUGGGGACACUGCCACCGUAAGGUGUGAGGAAGGUGGGGAUGACGUCAAAUCAGCACGGCCCUUACGUCCGGGGCUACACACG
rnacentral:rRNA from 1 species